rnacentral:rRNA from 1 species
CCUACGGGUGGCAGCAGUGAGGAAUAUUGGUCAAUGGCCGAAAGGCUGAACCAGCCAAGUCGCGGGAAGGAAGAAGGAUCUAUGGUUUGUAAACUUCUUUUAUAGGGGAAUAAAGGGAGACACGUGGGGAUAUUUGCAUGUACCCUAUGAAUAAGGAUCGGCUAACUCCGUGCCAGCAGCCGCUGUAAUACGGAGGAUGCGAGCGUUAUCCGGAUUUAGUGGGUUUAAAGGGUGCGUAGGUUGUUUUUUAAGUCAGCGGUGACAGUUUGUGGCUCAACCCUAAAAUUGCCGUUGAAACUGGCAGCCUUGAGUGUGUUUGAGGUAGGCGGUCUGCGUUUUGUCGC